UCGAGCGAACGGACGAGAAGCUUGCUUCUCUGAUGUUAGCGGCGGACGGGUGAGUAACACGUGGAUAACCUACCUAUAAGACUGGGAUAACUUCGGGAAACCGGAGCUAAUACCGGAUAAUAUUUUGAACCGCAUGGUUCAAAAGUGAAAGACGGUCUUGCUGUCACUUAUAGAUGGAUCCGCGCUGCAUUAGCUAGUUGGUAAGGUAACGGCUUACCAAGGCAACGAUGCAUAGCCGACCUGAGAGGGUGAUCGGCCACACUGGAACUGAGACACGGUCCAGACUCCUACGGGAGGCAGCAGUAGGGAAUCUUCCGCAAUGGGCGAAAGCCUGACGGAGCAACGCCGCGUGAGUGAUGAAGGUCUUCGGAUCGUAAAACUCUGUUAUUAGGGAAGAACAUAUGUGUAAGUAACUGUGCACAUCUUGACGGUACCUAAUCAGAAAGCCACGGCUAACUACGUGCCAGCAGCCGCGGUAAUACGUAGGUGGCAAGCGUUAUCCGGAAUUAUUGGGCGUAAAGCGCGCGUAGGCGGUUUUUUAAGUCUGAUGUGAAAGCCCACGGCUCAACCGUGGAGGGUCAUUGGAAACUGGAAAACUUGAGUGCAGAAGAGGAAAGUGGAAUUCCAUGUGUAGCGGUGAAAUGCGCAGAGAUAUGGAGGAACACCAGUGGCGAAGGCGACUUUCUGGUCUGUAACUGACGCUGAUGUGCGAAAGCGUGGGGAUCAAACAGGAUUA
rnacentral:rRNA from 1 species